CAGAGCAGCUACCCUCAGCUCUAGCUCAUACUACAGACAGUACAACAGAUUCACUGGACGAAAGAAAGAUAAAAGGGGUCAUUGAGCUCAGGAAGAGCUUACUGUCUGCCUUGAGAACUUAUGAACCAUAUGGAUCCCUGGUUCAACAAAUACGAAUUCUGCUGCUGGGUCCAAUUGGAGCUGGGAAGUCUAGCUUUUUCAACUCAGUGAGGUCUGUUUUCCAAGGGCAUGUAACGCAUCAGGCUUUGGUGGGCACUAAUACAACUGGGAUAUCUGAGAAGUAUAGGACAUACUCUAUUAGAGACGGGAAAGAUGGCAAAUACCUGCCAUUUAUUCUGUGUGACUCACUGGGGCUGAGUGAGAAAGAAGGCGGCCUGUGCAUGGAUGACAUAUCCUACAUCUUGAACGGUAACAUUCGUGAUAGAUACCAGUUUAAUCCCAUGGAAUCAAUCAAAUUAAAUCAUCAUGACUACAUUGAUUCCCCAUCGCUGAAGGACAGAAUUCAUUGUGUGGCAUUUGUAUUUGAUGCCAGCUCUAUUGAAUACUUCUCCUCUCAGAUGAUAGUAAAGAUCAAAAGAAUUCGAAGGGAGUUGGUAAACGCUGGGAAUCUAAGGGAGGAAAUUAUCAACUGUGCACAAGGAAAAAAAUAGAUAUGUGAAAGGUUCACGUAAAUUUCCUCACAUCACAGAAGAUUAAAAUUCAGAAAGGAGAAAACACAGACCAAAGAGAAGUAACUAAGACCAAAGGGAUGUGUUUUAUUAAUGUCUAGGAUGAAGAAAUGCAUAGAACAUUGUAGUACUUGUAAAUAACUAGAAAUAACAUGAUUUAGUCAUAAUUGUGAAAAAUAAUAAUAAUUUUUCUUGGAUUUAUGUUCUGUAUCUGUGAAAAAAUAAAUUUCUUAUAAAACUCGGGUCUAA
rnacentral:sRNA from 1 species